rnacentral:rRNA from 1 species
AGUGAACGCUGGCGGCAGGCCUAACACAUGCAAGUCGAACGGCAGCACAGUAAGAGCUUGCUCUUACGGGUGGCGAGUGGCGGACGGGUGAGGAAUACAUCGGAAUCUACUUUUUCGUGGGGGAUAACGUAGGGAAACUUACGCUAAUACCGCAUACGACCUACGGGUGAAAGCAGGGGAUCUUCGGACCUUGCGCGAUUGAAUGAGCCGAUGUCGGAUUAGCUAGUUGGCGGGGUAAAGGCCCACCAAGGCGACGAUCCGUAGCUGGUCUGAGAGGAUGAUCAGCCACACUGGAACUGAGACACGGUCCAGACUCCUACGGGAGGCAGCAGUGGGGAAUAUUGGCCAAUGGGCGCAAGCCUGAUCCAGCCAUGCCGCGUGGGUGAAGAAGGCCUUCGGGUUGUAAAGCCCUUUUGUUGGGAAAGAAAAGCAGCGGGUUAAUACCCCGCUGUUCUGACGGUACCCAAAGAAUAAGCACCGGCUAACUUCGUG